AGAUCCACUUAGAAGGUACUGAAAAUAAAAUGUUUUAUUCACAAUGGGGAAUGUAAAGGGUACAUGCAAUGUAAAAAAAAAAUCCCUCCUUUCUGUUGAUUUAUCUGCUAAUGAUUGCUCUGUCACCUCCUGGUCACCCUGGUCACCUCCUUCAGCUUUACCAGGUGAACACCACAUGUUCCUAGGCUAGCCAAGAGAUAUAAUUUCUCAAACAUGUCUUUGGUCUACCCCAGGCCUCCUGGUAGGUCAUGCCAGGUACAUCUCACACAGAGGUAAUGUUUUCAGACAUUGUCCAAACCAUCUCAACUGGCCCUUUUUCAUGUGGGGCAUGAUGAGCAGCUCUACUCUAGGCCUCUCUCAAAGGACCUAUCUCUUCACCUUGUCUCUAAGGGAGGUCCAAGUACCCUUUGGAGGAAGUAGAAACGAAGUAGAAUGUAGAAAAAGCGUAGAAAAAAGUACUUUUAUGAAAGAGUGAGUGGGUGGAUGAGGAAAGUUGUAUAAAGUGCCAGAUCUCAAUGACUUGGGGCCCAUCGGGGUCCCAUCAUUAAUCCAUCUGGGCAAACACAUUUGGGGCCACCAUGGAAACUGAGGACAAAAUUAGCUGGACCCCAGAUGGAUUUCCCAAGUGGGCCCCAAAUAUUGGCCCUGCUACUCCCUAUUUGGGCCCCACAUAUGUGUGUGGGUACAGUCGAGCAUAUGUGGGACAAACAAGUCUGAUUGACGGAGGCUCCACCUUACAACUUAUAGGAAAUAAAGGACCUGUUGAUAACAUCUCAUUGCCAGAUACCACACUACACAUUCAUGGGUUUAAUAUUAGGCAGGAGUUUAUAGUGUUAUGCCUGAUCAGUUUAAAAUAUAUAAGAAAAAUACUCACAUUUCUUCCAAUUUAUGACAUAAAAAGUACACUGUGUCCUGAACCUUUCCAGGACCUGCUGAUUUAACUCUAGAGGGUCUGUGUGGAAACUGCAGCAGGUCUGUGAGUGACCUGAGGCUCUCUGAGUACAGCUCCACCAGUUGUGAGGUGAAAUACAAUGAUGCUGCUGACAGCACAAUCAAAUGCAACAAGAUGAUUGAACACUGUAAUCUCUUGAAGGAGGCGCCCUUCUCCUCCUGUAACACUGACAUUGACCCAGAGCCCUACAUAACCGCCUGCACCGACACUUUGUGUAAAUAUCCUGC